GCAUCAAUAGUCCAAGGGUAGGAUUUGAGCCUUCCAAGCUUAAAAUCCGGGUUCGAGUCCCGGUUGAUGCA
rfam:Gregarina niphandrodes unplaced genomic scaffold scaffold00086, whole genome shotgun sequence.